UACGUAGGGUGCAAGCGUUGUCCGGAAUUAUUGGGCGUAAAGAGCUCGUAGGCGGUUUGUCGCGUCUGCCGUGAAAGUCCGGGGCUCAACUCCGGAUCUGCGGUGGGUACGGGCAGACUAGAGUGAUGUAGGGGAGACUGGAAUUCCUGGUGUAGCGGUGAAAUGCGCAGAUAUCAGGAGGAACACCGAUGGCGAAGGCAGGUCUCUGGGCAUUAACUGACGCUGAGGAGCGAAAAGCAUGGGGAGCGAACAGG
rnacentral:rRNA from 1 species